UACGAGAGGUCCAAACGUUAUUCGGAAUCACUGGGCUUACAGAGUUCGUAGGCGGUUCUACAAGUGAGGUGUGAAAGCCCUCGGCUCAACCGAGGAACUGCGCUUCAAACUGUAGAACUAGAGGGAGAUAGAGGUGAGCAGAACUGAUGGUGGAGCGGUGAAAUGCGUUGAUAUCAUCAGGAAUACCGGAGGCGAAGGCGGCGUCAC
rnacentral:rRNA from 1 species